GUUGUGAUGGCUCAGUGGUUAUAGCUUUGAGUUUCAGAUUAUAAGGUCUGGGUUCAAAUCCUAGCUGGCAUG